rnacentral:rRNA from 1 species
AUGCUUAAAUACCUUAAGGGUCAAACCAAGUUGAACAAGGUCAUGCUAAAUGGAGUGAAUUCAUUGAGUCUUUUCCUUAUGUCAUCAAGUACGUCAAAGGUAAGGAAAAAUGUUAUGGCGGAUGCACUUUCUCGUAUAUGCAUGCUUGUUACUCAAUUUGAAAUGGAUGUCAUUGGCUUUGAGCACAUCAAAGACUUAUAUGAGCAUGACCCCACUUUUGCUACUCCUUAUGCCAAGUGUUUGACGUAUACCUCUUGGGAACGCUAUUACAUCAAAAAUGGAUAUCUUAUGAGAGCUAACAAGCUUUGCAGCCCCGAAUCUUCUCUUCGUUUGUUGCUUUUGCAGGAAUCUCAUGGAGGAGGACUAAUGGGACAUUUUGGACGCGACAAGACUUUCGCUACGCCCUCCAAGCACUACUAUUGGCCCAAGAUGUUUCGCGAGUCAACCGCUUCACCAACCGAUGCUCUACAUGUCGCAAAGCUAAGUCUAAAGCUCAAUCCCAUGGCCUUUACAUGCCUCUCCCUAUUCCAUAUCAACCAUGGGAAGAUAUUAGCAUGGUUUUUGUGCUUGGAUUGCCUAGAACUAGAAAUGAAAAGGAUUCGGUAUUUGUCGUUGUGGAUUGUUUCUCUAAGACGGCAUAUUUCAUUCCUUGCAACAAGAUAG